rnacentral:hammerhead_ribozyme from 1 species
AUCCAGGUAACGAGUCCCAAAUAGGACAAAACGAGCGUCCUGGAU